UACAGGGGGGGCAAGCGUUGUUCGGAAUUACUGGGCGUAAAGGGCUCGUAGGUGGCCAACUAAGUCAGACGUGAAAUCCCUCGGCUUAACCGGGGAACUGCGUCUGAUACUGGAUGGCUUGAAUCCGGAGAGGGAUGCGGAAUUCCAGGUGUAGCGGUGAAAUGCGUAGAUAUCUGGAGGAACACCGGUGGCGAAGGCGGCAUCCUGGACCGGCAUUGACGCUGAGGAGCGAAAGCCAGGGGAGCAAACGGG
rnacentral:rRNA from 1 species